rnacentral:rRNA from 1 species
CCUACGGGAGGCAGCAGUGAGGAAUAUUGGUCAAUGGACGAGAGUCUGAACCAGCCAAGUAGCGUGAAGGAUGACUGCCCUAUGGGUUGUAAACUUCUUUUAUAUGGGAAUAAAAUGUUCCACGUGUGGGAUUUUGUAUGUACCAUAUGAAUAAGGAUCGGCUAACUCCGUGCCAGCAGCCGCGGUAAUACGGAGGAUCCGAGCGUUAUCCGGAUUUAUUGGGUUUAAAGGGAGCGUAGGUGGUUGGUUAAGUCAGUUGUGAAAGUUUGCGGCUCAACCGUAAAAUUGCAGUUGAAACUGGCAGUCUUGAGUACAGUAGAGGUGGGCGGAAUUCGUGGUGUAGCGGUGAAAUGCUUAGAGAUCACGAAGAACUCCGAUUGCGAAGGCAGCUCACUGGACUGCAACUGACACUGAGGCUCGAAAGUGUGGGGAUCAAACAGGAUUAGAUACCCCAGUAGUC